rnacentral:lncRNA from 1 species
UGGUAGGGGAUGCAGUUGUCGCCGUGGUAGGUGUUGUCGGCGUGGUAGGUAGCGCAGUUUCCGCCGUGGUAGGUGAUGCAGUUGUCGCCGUGGUAGGUGGUGCAGUUGUCGCCGUGGUAGGUGGCGCAGUUGUCGCCGUGGUAGGUGGUGUUGCCGUGGUAGGUGGUGCAGUUGUCGCCGUGGUAGGUGGUGCAGUUGUCGGCGUGGUAGGUGGUGCAGUUGUCGCCGUGGUAGGUGGUGCAGUUGUCGCCGUGGUAGGUGGUGCAGUUGUCGCCGUGGUAGUUGGUGCAGUUGUCGCCGUGGUAGGUGGCGCAGUUGUCGCCGUGGUAGGUGGCGCGGUUGCCGGCGUGGUAGGUGGUGCAGUUGU